GGAUGGAUCAUUGAAGAAACAUUGUCCAUCGGUCGUGAUUCGUCCCCUCCUCCGGGAGAGGGCGAGGCACGCUCCGACACCCGAUCGCGAACGGUCCAAGUCCCUUCCCGGGACGUCGAAGACUUCGGUCCUCGAAUAUAUCCCCGGGGAGACACCAAAAAAAACCGUAGACCCCUCGGUAACAAAAAAAAUCACGAAGGAUGGAUCGCCAGUCGAUCCUUCCGUCAAAUCGAGAAUUAACCUAGUCGACUACUUUCGACGACGGAUACCUCGGUUCCCACGCCGAUGAAGAGCGCGGCGAAACGCGAUAUGUCGUGCGAAUCGCAGAAUUCGGCGAAUCACGCAAUCCUCGAACGCAUCCGGCGCUCUCGGGUCUUCCCGGGAGCAUGCCCGUCCGAGCGUCGUUCCCAAAAAAUCCACGCCCACCUCGAUUAAAAACCGAGGGAAGCGAGGGCGAUCGGGAGUCUGCAGAGAUGCAGUCUCCUGGGAACGAGGCGCGCCCGCUUUAGCCCCCGUCCUACGACGAGGGAUCAGGUGCAAAAGCUUCCGUCGAGAGCGCCUCAGGGUGCAAACUCAUAUCGGGAGCGCUAGCCCUGAUCCAUUCUACUCUCGUAGACCUCGGGAUCGGCUUUUGCGAGGAUGGACGCCGUCCGUGGUCCGUGAGACCAGGGUCGGAGGGUCUCUGUACCCUCCCUUCUCUAACCACGACCUCGGAUCGGGCAAGAUUACCCGCUGAACUUAAGCAUAUUAAUAAGCGGAGGAAAAGAAACCAACAGGGAUUCCCCCAGUAGCGGCGAGCGAAGCGGGAACAGCUCAAGCUUUAAAUCGGGGGUCCUAGGGGCCUUCCGAAUUGUAGCCUUUCGAGCGCCGGUUGCCGGGCAGAUCGUGCGAGUACGGAGUCCCCUGGAACGGGGCGUCUUAGAGGGUGAGAACCCCAUGACGGACUCGUCGGUUUGUUCGACUGCAUCCGGUGUUCGGCGAGUCGGGUAGUUUGAGAUUGCUGCCUCAAUGGGUGGUAGAUUUCAUCCAAAGCUAAAUACGGGUGGGAGACCGAUAGCGAACAAGUACCGUGAGUGAAAGGUGAAAAGAACUUUGGAAAGAGAGUUAAAAGCGCUUGAAAUCGUCGAAAGGGAAGCGAACGGGAUCGGCUACGGUCGGCGGGAGAUCAUCUCUGGAGAGUUCCGGUGUCCGAGAGUCGGAGGGCGAAAGCCCCCGGUCUCCGGUUCCGAGUUCUCCCCCGGGUGCGCUCGGCCCGUCGAUCGGCCCGAGUCGGCUCGAUUCACCGUAGGGAGGAGGAGCGAGGGCGGGCAGGAUUCGUCCUGCCGACGCGCUCCUUCGGAACGGUGCGUCGGGUCGAGGAAACCAACGUGCGCCCUCGGGCGGUCGGUCCCCAUCUCCCUUCGGGCGAGGUGGGGGACCAAGCACGUUAGGGACUCGGGCGUAACGGUCUCGUUCGACCCGUCUUGAAACACGGACCAAGGAGUCCGACGCGCAUGCGAGCGGAAGGGUGACAAACCCCCACGCGAAGCGAGAGCGAGCGGGCGGGAAGCCGCAAGGCAGCACCGUCGGCCGAUCCCCCUCUGUGGCGGAUUCGAGCGGGAGCAUGCUCGUCGGGACCCGAAAGAUGGUGAACUAUGCCUGCGCAGGGUGAAGCCAGGGGAAACUCUGGUGGAGGCUCGUAGCGGUACUGACGUGCAAAUCGUUCGUCCGACGUGGGUAUAGGGGCGAAAGACUAAUCGAACCAUCUGGUAGCUGGUUCCCUC
rnacentral:misc_RNA from 1 species